AUGGCGACCGGCGCACGGGUGAGUAACACGUAUCCAACCUGCCGAUGACUCGGGGAUAGCCUUUCGAAAGAAAGAUUAAUACCCGAUGGCAUAGUUCUUCCGCAUGGUAGAACUAUUAAAGAAUUUCGGUCAUCGAUGGGGAUGCGUUCCAUUAGGCUUGUUGGCGGGGUAACGGCCCACCAAGGCAUCGAUGGAUAGGGGUUCUGAGAGGAAGGUCCCCCACAUUGGAACUGAGACACGGUCCAAACUCCUACGGAAGGCAGCAG
rnacentral:rRNA from 1 species